AUGCUAAUGAAUAGCAAUAGUAGUCAGAGCAAGCUUCAGUUUACGCUAAAGCUUUCGAGUAGUCGGCAAGCUACGAGACAAGUGACUGUGCAGCGCUGGGAGAAAAAGAAAAGGAAACCUAGCCCCGCACGCUUCUUCGCCACUCUGUCAAUCCCCUCUUCGCUCGCCUCCUUCUCUCCCUGGUCCCUGCGCCGCCGGCUCAGCCGCCUCCUCUCCCGCUUUCCUCCUCCUAGCUCAGUCCUCGUCCAGAUCGGCGUCCAGCGCAGGAAGAUCGGGGUGGUGGCGGCGGCAUCUUCAGCGGCGUCGCCGGACGAGGUCCACGCGCCGGGGAGAUAUCUCCAAGGUCCCGCGCCACCACGUCCCCUCGCCGACGUUGGCCUCACCACAGAAGAGGUCUAG
rnacentral:rRNA from 1 species